rnacentral:rRNA from 1 species
CUACCCGCUGACGAGCGGCGGACGGGUGAGUAAUGCAUAGGAAACUGCCCAGUAGUGGGGGAUAGCCCGGGGAAACCCGGAUUAAUACCGCAUACGUCCUUCGGGAGAAAGCAGGGGCUCUUCGGACCUUGCGCUAUUGGAUGUGCCUAUGUCGGAUUAGCUAGUUGGUGGGGUAAAGGCCUACCAAGGCGACGAUCCGUAGCUGGUCUGAGAGGAUGAUCAGCCACAUCGGGACUGAGACACGGCCCGAACUCCUACGGGAGGCAGCAGUGGGGAAUAUUGGACAAUGGGGGCAACCCUGAUCCAGCCAUGCCGCGUGUGUGAAGAAGGCUUUCGGGUUGUAAAGCACUUUCAGUGAGGAGGAAAACCUUAUGGUUAAUACCCAUGAGGCUUGACGUUACUCACAGAAGAAGCACCGGCUAACUCCGUGCCAGCAGCCGCGGUAAUACGGAGGGUGCAAGCGUUAAUCGGAAUUACUGGGCGUAAAGCGCGCGUAGGUGGUUUGAUAAGCGAGAUGU